CAUUACUCAUUUUUUCCAACAGUGUCUACUUCUUGGCAGCAUAUUGGGUCUGUUUCUUGCAGCCCUUGUUUUCCACCGACAGUCUGGCCGCCUGGAAGUUUUCAGCUUGGGUUCGAAAUCUCGCUUGGCAUGAUGCUAGUCAUAUAAACCUCUUCCAUACGGGUUUCUUGGUUUUUCAGCAUUGAUAUGGAUUUUUCUCUUGCUGCUAAAAAUGUGUGCUGCCCAUUUACAAGGUAAGCAAUUUGAAAAUUCCCCUUCACAUGAUGCUGCUCAACAUUCUUCAACCGGGAAAGCAGAAUUCGAAGAUUUUGUUAAAAUCUGUCCAAAUUCAAAGUUUCAAGUUCCUCGAAGUUGUGAAGUUAGGCCAGAAUGGUUAUGAAUUGUUCUUGAAAGAUUCAAGUUUUUCAUCUCCUCUCGUAAGAUUUGAAACCCGUCAACAGUUCGGUACUUCGUGUUCUUGAUCAGCCGAAGUUGUAAUGUUUUGAUUCGUGUUGCGUCUCUUGUUUUGGAUCAUUAGAUCAUUGUAAUGCUUGGAUUGUUUGUCAGGUAUGUCCAGAGUAGUUUUACUCAAUUUUGAUCAAUAUAAUAUAAAUUUAUUUACCGAUCAAAAAAAA